rnacentral:rRNA from 1 species
GAUGAACGCUGGCGGCGUGCCUAAUACAUGCAAGUCGAACGCGCCGAGAAGGGUACUUGUUCCUUUCAACGCGAGUGGCGAACGGGUGAGUCACACGUAGGAAACCUACCCUUCAGCGGGGGAUAACCAUCGGAAACGAUGACUAAUACCGCAUAGUUGUUCCAGUCGCAUGACUGGAAUGGGAAAGGCGGCUUCGGCUGUCACUGAAGGAUGGUCCCGCGGUGCAUUAGCUAGACGGUGGGGUAACGGCCUACCGUGGCUUUGAUGCAUAGCCGACCCGGGAGGGUGAUCGGCCACAUUGGAACGGAGACACGGCCCAAAGUCCUGCGGGAGGCAGCAGUAGGGAAUCUGCCGCAAUGGACGCAAGUCUGACGGAGCAACGCCGCGUGUGUGAAGAAGGUCUUCGGAUCGUAAAGCACUGUUAUCAGAGAAGAAUAGCCUACAGCGUAACUGUUGUAGGUUUGACGGUAACUGAUCAGAAAGCCACGGCUAACUACGUG